rnacentral:rRNA from 1 species
AUUGAACGCUGGCGGCAUGCUUUACACAUGCAAGUCGAACGGCAGCGCGGGCUUCGGCCUGGCGGCGAGUGGCGAACGGGUGAGUAAUACACCGGAACGUGCCCAGCAGUGGGGGAUAGCUCGGCGAAAGCCGGAUUAAUACCGCAUCGGACCAGAGGGUGAAAGCGGGGGAUCUUCGGACCUCGCGCUAUUGGAGAGGCCGAUGGCGGAUUAGCUUGUUGGUUGGGUAAAGGCCUACCAAGGCGACGAGCUGUAGCUGGUCUGAGAGGACGAGCCGCCACACUGGGACUGAACCGCGGCCCAGACUCCUACGGUAGGCAGCAGUGGGGAAUUUUGGACAAUGGGCGAAAGCCUGAUCCAACAAUGCCGCGUGUGGGAUGAAGGCCUUCGGGUUGUAAAUCACUUUUGGCGGGAACGAAAAGGACUGUGCCAAUACCACGGUUCGAUGACGGUACCCGCAGAAUAAGCACCGGCUAACUACGUG